GGUUAAGCGACUAAGCGUACACGGUGGAUGCCCUGGCAGUCAGAGGCGAUGAAGGACGUGCUAAUCUGCGAUAAGCGUCGGUAAGGUGAUAUGAACCGUUAUAACCGGCGAUUUCCGAAUGGGGAAACCCAGUGUGAUUCGUCACACUAUCAUUAACUGAAUCCAUAGGUUAAUGAGGCGAACCGGGGGAACUGAAACAUCUAAGUACCCCGAGGAAAAGAAAUCAACCGAGAUUCCCCCAGUAGCGGCGAGCGAACGGGGAGGAGCCCAGAGCCUGAAUCAGUGUGUGUGUUAGUGGAAGCGUCUGGAAAGGCGCGCGAUACAGGGUGACAGCCCCGUACACAAAAAUGCACAUGCUGUGAGCUCGAUGAGUAGGGCGGGACACGUGGUAUCCUGUCUGAAUAUGGGGGGACCAUCCUCCAAGGCUAAAUACUCCUGACUGACCGAUAGUGAACCAGUACCGUGAGGGAAAGGCGAAAAGAACCCCGGCGAGGGGAGUGAAAAAGAACCUGAAACCGUGUACGUACAAGCAGUGGGAGCACGCUUAGGCGUGUGACUGCGUACCUUUUGUAUAAUGGGUCAGCGACUUAUAUUCUGUAGCAAGGUUAACCGAAUAGGGGAGCCGAAGGGAAACCGAGUCUUAACUGGGCGUUAAGUUGCAGGGUAUAGACCCGAAACCCGGUGAUCUAGCCAUGGGCAGGUUGAAGGUUGGGUAACACUAACUGGAGGACCGAACCGACUAAUGUUGAAAAAUUAGCGGAUGACUUGUGGCUGGGGGUGAAAGGCCAAUCAAACCGGGAGAUAGCUGGUUCUCCCCGAAAGCUAUUUAGGUAGCGCCUCGUGAAUUCAUCUCCGGGGGUAGAGCACUGUUUCGGCAAGGGGGUCAUCCCGACUUACCAACCCGAUGCAAACUACGAAUACCGGAGAAUGUUAUCACGGGAGACACACGGCGGGUGCUAACGUCCGUCGUGAAGAGGGAAACAACCCAGACCGCCAGCUAAGGUCCCAAAGUCAUGGUUAAGUGGGAAACGAUGUGGGAAGGCCCAGACAGCCAGGAUGUUGGCUUAGAAGCAGCCAUCAUUUAAAGAAAGCGUAAUAGCUCACUGGUCGAGUCGGCCUGCGCGGAAGAUGUAACGGGGCUAAACCAUGCACCGAAGCUGCGGCAGCGACGCUUAUGCGUUGUUGGGUAGGGGAGCGUUCUGUAAGCCUGCGAAGGUGUGCUGUGAGGCAUGCUGGAGGUAUCAGAAGUGCGAAUGCUGACAUAAGUAACGAUAAAGCGGGUGAAAAGCCCGCUCGCCGGAAGACCAAGGGUUCCUGUCCAACGUUAAUCGGGGCAGGGUGAGUCGACCCCUAAGGCGAGGCCGAAAGGCGUAGUCGAUGGGAAACAGGUUAAUAUUCCUGUACUUGGUGUUACUGCGAAGGGGGGACGGAGAAGGCUAUGUUGGCCGGGCGACGGUUGUCCCGGUUUAAGCGUGUAGGCUGGUUUUCCAGGCAAAUCCGGAAAAUCAAGGCUGAGGCGUGAUGACGAGGCACUACGGUGCUGAAGCAACAAAUGCCCUGCUUCCAGGAAAAGCCUCUAAGCAUCAGGUAACAUCAAAUCGUACCCCAAACCGACACAGGUGGUCAGGUAGAGAAUACCAAGGCGCUUGAGAGAACUCGGGUGAAGGAACUAGGCAAAAUGGUGCCGUAACUUCGGGAGAAGGCACGCUGAUAUGUAGGUGAAGUCCCUCGCGGAUGGAGCUGAAAUCAGUCGAAGAUACCAGCUGGCUGCAACUGUUUAUUAAAAACACAGCACUGUGCAAACACGAAAGUGGACGUAUACGGUGUGACGCCUGCCCGGUGCCGGAAGGUUAAUUGAUGGGGUUAGCGCAAGCGAAGCUCUUGAUCGAAGCCCCGGUAAACGGCGGCCGUAACUAUAACGGUCCUAAGGUAGCGAAAUUCCUUGUCGGGUAAGUUCCGACCUGCACGAAUGGCGUAAUGAUGGCCAGGCUGUCUCCACCCGAGACUCAGUGAAAUUGAACUCGCUGUGAAGAUGCAGUGUACCCGCGGCAAGACGGAAAGACCCCGUGAACCUUUACUAUAGCUUGACACUGAACAUUGAGCCUUGAUGUGUAGGAUAGGUGGGAGGCUUUGAAGUGUGGACGCCAGUCUGCAUGGAGCCGACCUUGAAAUACCACCCUUUAAUGUUUGAUGUUCUAACGUUGACCCGUGAUCCGGGUUGCGGACAGUGUCUGGUGGGUAGUUUGACUGGGGCGGUCUCCUCCUAAAGAGUAACGGAGGAGCACGAAGGUUGGCUAAUCCUGGUCGGACAUCAGGAGGUUAGUGCAAUGGCAUAAGCCAGCUUGACUGCGAGCGUGACGGCGCGAGCAGGUGCGAAAGCAGGUCAUAGUGAUCCGGUGGUUCUGAAUGGAAGGGCCAUCGCUCAACGGAUAAAAGGUACUCCGGGGAUAACAGGCUGAUACCGCCCAAGAGUUCAUAUCGACGGCGGUGUUUGGCACCUCGAUGUCGGCUCAUCACAUCCUGGGGCUGAAGUAGGUCCCAAGGGUAUGGCUGUUCGCCAUUUAAAGUGGUACGCGAGCUGGGUUUAGAACGUCGUGAGACAGUUCGGUCCCUAUCUGCCGUGGGCGCUGGAGAACUGAGGGGGGCUGCUCCUAGUACGAGAGGACCGGAGUGGACGCAUCACUGGUGUUCGGGUUGUCAUGCCAAUGGCACUGCCCGGUAGCUAAAUGCGGAAGAGAUAAGUGCUGAAAGCAUCUAAGCACGAAACUUGCCCCGAGAUGAGUUCUCCCUGACUCCUUGAGAGUCCUGAAGGAACGUUGAAGACGACGACGUUGAUAGGCCGGGUGUGUAAGCGCAGCGAUGCGUUGAGCUAACCGGUACUAAUGAACCGUGAGGCUUAACCUU
rnacentral:rRNA from 1 species